AACGAACGCUGGCGGCAUGCCUAACACAUGCCAGUCGAACGAGACCUUCGGGUCUAGUGGCGCACGGGUGCGUAACGCGUGGGAACCUGCCCUUAGGUUCGGAAUAACUCCCCGAAAGGGGUGCUAAUACCGGAUAAUGUCUUCGGACCAAAGAUUUAUCGCCUUUGGAUGGGCCCGCGUUGGAUUAGCUAGUUGGUAGGGUAAAAGCCUACCAAGGCGACGAUCCAUAGCUGGUCUGAGAGGAUGAUCAGCCACACUGGGACUGAGACGCGGCCCAGACUCCUACGGGAGGCAGCAGUGGGGAAUAUUGGACAAUGGGCGAAAGCCUGAUCCAGCAAUGCCGCGUGAGUGAUGAAGGCCUUAGGGUUGUAAAGCUCUUUUACCCGGGAUGAUAAUGACAGUACCGGGAGAAUAAGCUCCGGCUAACUCCGUG
rnacentral:rRNA from 1 species